AAUAAAAACCUAAAGAAAAUA
rnacentral:miRNA from 1 species